rnacentral:ribozyme from 1 species
UACCCAGCAACUCCUAUCCCUACCUCCUCGCGGUACUGGCCGGAGUACGAGUAACCUUAGGGAAGAUCGGGUAACCAACCCCCGGUGGUCAUAAGCUGACAGGGAAGG